rnacentral:rRNA from 1 species
UACGUAGGGGGCAAGCGUUGUCCGGAUUUAUUGGGCGUAAAGAGCGUGUAGGCGGCCUGACAGGUCUGCUGUGAAAACUCGAGGCUCAACCUCGAGAUGUCGGCGGAAACCGUCUGGCUAGAGUCCGGAAGAGGAGAGUGGAAUUCCUGGUGUAGCGGUGAAAUGCGUAGAUAUGUGGAGGAACACCGAUGGCGAAGGCAGCCCCCUGGGUUAACACUGACGCUCAUGCACGAAAGCGUGGGGAGCAAACAGG